rnacentral:rRNA from 1 species
UAUGGCGACCGGCGCACGGGUGAGUAACACGUAUCCAACCUGCCGAUGACUCGGGGAUAGCCUUUCGAAAGAAAGAUUAAUACCCGAUGGCAUAGUUCUUCCGCAUGGUGGAACUAUUAAAGAAUUUCGGUCAUCGAUGGGGAUGCGUUCCAUUAGGUUGUUGGCGGGGUAACGGCCCACCAAGCCUUCGAUGGAUAGGGGUUCUGAGAGGAAGGUCCCCCACAUUGGGACUGAGACACGGCCCAGACUCCUACGGGAGGCAGCAUG